UACGUAGGGGGCUAGCGUUGUCCGGAUUUAUUGGGCGUAAAGAGCGUGUAGGCGGCCAGGUAGGUCUGCUGUGAAAACUCGAGGCUCAACCUCGAGACGUCGGCGGAAACCAUCUGGCUAGAGUCCGGAAGAGGAGAGUGGAAUUCCUGGUGUAGCGGUGAAAUGCGCAGAUAUCAGUCGGAACACCGGCGGCGAAGGCGGCUUCUUGGGCCGUUCCUGACGCUGAUGCGCGAAAGCUGGGGGAGCGAACGGG
rnacentral:rRNA from 1 species